CAAGGACUCUAAGUAUAAUGUAACACAUAAAUGAACAAGGGUAAAAAAUGUGUAGUCACAGAAAAGAAUUAGUAAUGGGAGGGAAUGAAAACACGCUACGCAGAACUUCUCGACAUAUUUGUUACGUCACAAAUCAAGUUCCGAGAAUUGUGGCAAAAAUCAAAAGCUUAGCGAUUUAAGGAUUCAACACGGAGAUGAAGUGGAAUGAUUCCUGAUAUAAGGACCACUUAACGACUUUUCUCAAGGAAUUCAUAAAAAGAAUACUGCGGAAUGAAAUUAACUAGAUUAAGCAUUUCAGCAGGAGUUAUCUGAUUCAAAGCUGACUCCAACUUGGAGGAGGAGGGAUACCUGGCAUAACAGUCCCUUUUUGAUAGACGAGAGAACAAGCAAAGGACAUGGAGAAGGCUGUGCUGUCCUCAUGCCAAGAGCACUCACCAGAAACUGACUUUGCUGGCACUUUGUGGACUUCUCAGCCAGAACGAUGAGAAAGAAAUUUCUAUUGUUUAAGUUAUCUAAUCUGAUAUUUUGUUAUGGAAACCAGAACAGACAAAUACACACUGAAAUUAUAUCUAUCUUCAAAAUAUGAUUGGUUGGUAUUAUGACAAAGUAGUAUUCACUUUAGUUCUAACUCUUCUAAAAUUUUAAGAUUUGAAAAAAUGAUAAUUAUUCAAUGUAGACUUCUGAUAUGCCUUCUAGCUCUUCUCAAUUAUAAUUCUAAUGCUGUUCCAUUAUUCUACUAAUUUUAUUACCAAACAUAUAUAUUACUUGAACUCUAAUAUAAGAACAUCACCUUUCUAAUUCA